rnacentral:rRNA from 1 species
UGAGGAAUUUUGCGCAAUGGGCGAAAGCCUGACGCAGCAAUGCCGCGUGGAGGAAGACGGCCUUCGGGUUGUAAACUCCUUUUAUAAAGGAAGAUUAUGACGGUACUUUAUGAAUAAGGGCCUGCUAACUACGUGCCAGCAGCAGCGGUAAUACGUAGGGCUCGAACGUUACCCGGAUUCAUUGGGCGUAAAGCGCGCGUAGGCGGAUUAGUAAGUCAAAUAUUAAAGACAUCGGCCCAACCGGUGGAAAGUGUUUGAAACUGCUCAUCUAGAGAGUGGUAGAGGCAAAUGGAAUUCUCGGUGUAGGGGUAAUAUCCGUAGAUAUCGAGAAGAACACCAAAGGCGAAGGCAGUUUGCUGGACCAUUUCUGACGCUGAGGUGCGAAAGCGUGGGGAGCGAACGGG